AGUGAACGCUGGCGGUAGGCCUAACACAUGCAAGUCGAACGGCAGCACGGUAAGAGCUUGCUCUUACGGGUAGCGAGUGGCGGACGGGUGAGGAAUACAUCGGAAUCUACUUUUUCGUGGGGGAUAACGUAGGGAAACUUACGCUAAUACCGCAUACGACCUACGGGUGAAAGCAGGGGAUCUUCGGACCUUGCGCGAUUGAAUGAGCCGAUGUCGGAUUAGCUAGUUGGCGGGGUAAAGGCCCACCAAGGCGACGAUCCGUAGCUGGUCUGAGAGGAUGAUCAGCCACACUGGAACUGAGACACGGUCCAGACUCCUACGGGAGGCAGCAGUGGGGAAUAUUGGACAAUGGGCGCAAGCCUGAUCCAGCCAUACCGCGUGGGUGAAGAAGGCCUUCGGGUUGUAAAGCCCUUUUGUUGGGAAAGAAAAGCAGCAGGUUAAUACCCCGCUGUUCUGACGGUACCCAAAGAAUAAGCACCGGCUAACUUCGU
rnacentral:rRNA from 1 species